rnacentral:rRNA from 1 species
ACCUGAAGGGUUUCGAUCAUGGCUCAGUUGAACGCUGGCGGGAUACUUUACCACAUCUGGUGAACAGCAGCACGGACUUCGGUCUGGUGGCGAGUGGCGAACAGGUGAGUAAUGUCGGAACAGUGCUCUCUAGUAGCGGGGGGAUAACUACGCUAAGCGUAGCUAAUACCGCGCCCUUCGGGGAAAGCAGGGGACAGCUGAACCUCGCACUAUUGAAACAGCCGAUAUCAGUUAGCUAGUUGGUGGGGGUAACGGCUCACCAAGGCGACGAUCCGCAACUGGUUUGAGAGGACGACCAACCACACUGGGACGAGACACGGCCCAGACUCCUACGGGAGGCAGCAGUGGGGGAAUUUUGGACAAUGGGGGAAACCCCGAUCCAGCCAUCCCGCGUACGAUGAAGGGCCCUUCGGGUUGUAAACCUUUUGGCAGGAAAGAAACGGCACGGGGAUAAUACCCCGUGCAACUGACGGUACCUGCAGAAUAAGCGCAGCUGCUUCCCAUUGCCAGCAGCCGCGGUAGCCGUAGGGUGCAAGCGUUAAUCGGAAUUACUGGGCGUAAAGCGUGCGCAGGCGGUUCAGAAAAGAUGUGAAAUCCCAGAGCUUAUGCUGCGGAACUGCAUUUUAACUACCGAGCUAGAGUGUGUCAGAGGAGGUGAAAUUCACGUGUAGCAGUGGUAAAUGAAUGCCGGAGAACACCAAAUAGCGAAGCGGCCUCCUGGGAUAGCACUGACGCUCAUGCACGAAAAGCGUGGGAGCAAACAGGAUUGAUGCACUGGUAGUCCACGCCCUAAACUUGAUGUCAACUAGCUGUUGGGGCCUUCGGGCCUUGGUUAGCGCAGCUAACGCGUGAAGUUGACCGCCUGGGAAAUACGGUCGCAAGAUUAAAACUCAAAGGAAUUGACGGGGACCCGCACAAGCGGUGGAUGAUGUGGAUUAAUUCGAUGCAACACGCGAAAAACCUUACCUACCCUUGACAUGUCUGGAAUCCCGAAGAGAUUUGGGAAUGCUCGCGAGAGAACCGGAACACAGGUGCUGCAUGGCUGUCGUCAGCUCGUGUCGUGAGAUGUUAGGUUAAGUCGCAACGAGCGCAGCCCUUGUCAUUGAAUUGCUACGAAAAGGGCACUCUAAUGAGACUGCCGGUGACAAACCGGAGGAAGGUGGGGAUGACGUCAAGUCCUCAUGGCCCAUGGUGGGCUUCACCCGUCAUACAAUGGUCGGGACAGAGGGUCGCCAACCCGCAGAGGGCAAUCCCAGAAGCCGGUGAUCGUACUGACUCCGGAUCGCGAUCUGUCUCGGCUGCGUGAAGUCGGAAUCGCUAGUAAUCGCGGAUCAGCAUGUCGCGGUGAAUACGUUCAGGUCUUGUACACCGCCAAUACCAUGGGAGUGGGUUUUACCGAAGUAGUUAGCUAACCGUAGAGGCGAUUACCACGGUAGGAUUCAUGACUGGGGUGAAGUCGUAACAAGGUAA